rnacentral:rRNA from 1 species
CUGCUGCCUUCCGUAGGAGUUUGGGCCGUGUCUCAGUCCCAAUGUGGCCGUCCACCCUCUCAGGCCGGCUACUGAUCGUCGCUUUGGUAGGCCGUUACCCUGCCAACUGGCUAAUCAGACGCGGGUCCAUCAUAUACCACCGGAGUUUUUCACACUGAGUCAUGCGACUCCGUGCGCUUAUGCGGUUUUAGCAGCAAUUUCUCGCUGUUAUCCCCCUGUAUAUGGCAGGUUACCCACGCGUUACUCACCCGUCCG